rnacentral:rRNA from 1 species
UGAUCCUGGCUCAGGAUGAACGCUGGCGGCGUGCCUAAUACAUGCAAGUCGAGCGAACUGACGAGGAGCUUGCUCCUUUGACGUUAGCGGCGGACGGGUGAGUAACACGUGGGUAACCUACCUAUAAGACUGGAAUAACUCCGGGAAACCGGGGCUAAUGCCGGAUAACAUGUUGAACCGCAUGGUUCAACAGUGAAAGACGGUCUUGCUGUCACUUAUAGAUGGACCCGCGCCGUAUUAGCUAGUUGGUAAGGUAACGGCUUACCAAGGCGACGAUACGUAGCCGACCUGAGAGGGUGAUCGGCCACACUGGAACUGAGACACGGUCCAGACUCCUACGGGAGGCAGCAGUAGGGAAUCUUCCGCAAUGGGCGAAAGCCUGACGGAGCAACGCCGCGUGAGUGAUGAAGGUCUUCGGAUCGUAAAGCUCUGUUGUUAGGGAAGAACAUAUGUGUAAGUAACUGUGCACAUCU